UGCCGCCGGAUGUGCAGAGCGACGCCUGCCCGUUCCGAUGCGCCAACGGGAAAUGUACCGACCGCUCCAGCCUCUGUAUCUUCGACAGAGACAUCUACGGCUCUCCCCGGUACUGCAGGGACCUGACACAUUUGAGAUACUGUGAACGUUUCCAGUGUCCCGGGAUGUUCAAGUGUGAACGCAGCUACUGCAUCCCACUGCGCAUGGUCUGUGACGGGUCACGUGACUGUCCUGGAGGAGAGGACGAGUUGUCCUGUGAAAGCUUCAGUUGUCCUGGGCACUACAGAUGUAAGGUUGACGGUGUGUGCAUCCUCCAGAGGCAGCGGUGUGACGGGAUCGUCCACUGUCCCACACUCAUGGACGACGAGAAAUACUGUGG